CAGAGCUCACUGUGUGGGAUAUGUUAGAAGAGGGAGGGAGAGAGAUCUGCUGCACUGUAAGGAAUGAUUGGAGGACCGUCAUGCCAAAGGAGCUCACCCUGGGUCUGAGUUCAAACACGGAUGUCUGCCACUCCUUCUGACCUUGAGAAAAUGGGUAACCUGCCUAUGACUCCUAGCUUGAUCCUUCUUGAAAAGAGGAUCAAAGCUGCAUGGAGAAAAGAGGUGUCUAAAAUAACUGGAAAAACUGCAUAAGAAGACCCAAGAUGAUGAAGAAGAACAUCAGUUCAGAAGUAUCUAAUCCUUAACUCAACCUUAUGCUGUCUCAAACCAGUAGGACUUUCUCUUAGUGGACAAAUUAAGAUAUUGUCAUAGAGAAAUGUUUGCCCAUACAAUAGAAGACAAAUGGGAGCCAAACCUUUGAGCUCGUAUGGUCCAAAAGGGUUGUACCUAUUCUCUUAAUGAGCCACGGGUGUGUUUUGGGCAUAACGUGCAAUUAACCAAUCAGAAUAUCAUCUCCCAUUCCCUUUAAAAGCCAUUUGUCCUUGCACCAUGGCGGAUUUGCCAUUUACAUAGCGGAAUUUGCAAGAGCAAAGACUGAACGCUUCUCCAUGUACACAAUAAGAAUCUUUUACAUUUGUAAUCCUUUCAUUUUUAAUAUUUGGCAUGUUUGUGUGCUGUUGCGUGUCCCUGUGUGUGUAAUAAGCAGAGUGCGCCCAUCUAUAUAGGUGCAUAUUACUAACACGGCCUUUAAAUACAUUUUUAAAAAUAACUGCGUCAUUGACUUUAGGCUAGGUUUUAGUUCGUCAGCGGUGCAGUCGUUUUCAGUUGCCUUGAAAUAACAAUGCGCCAACAAUGCGCCUGAACACACUUAGUUUUCAGACCAGCAUGCCCAUGGGCGAACAGAUGGGCGCAAGUGCAUUUGGUAUUUAAACAAUGUAGCGCUGGACGUGAAAAUGAUAACUGCGUCAGGCUGAAACUAGCAUAAAACACUUGCAUCACAUGUAUGGUAGGACCUGUUGUCCCCAAAGACACAACAAGCACUAUGUGAAAUACAACGCCUUUUGUUUGGUUGUUGAUCCUGUACAUUCUCAUGUGAGUAUACAUAUUUUUAGGGGUUCAAGCACAUAGAGAUGAAACCCUAUUGUAAUGGUUAGAAUGGCCAAGGAUCAGCAAUCUCCAAGUAAAACUGAUUGUACAGACCAAACUGUAAGUUGUAGAGACUUGAAACUUGGAGGGAUAGUAGUACUCACACCCCUGACAAGGUCACCAAGGCUUGCCCCAAUCAGCCUGACGGGGGGGCGCUACAGCGAUUAAAGGUAUGAAAUCACUGUAUCUGCCUCAUGCCGUAUUUUUUUUUUUUCUAGAACAGUGGUUUUGAAACCAGUUCUGGAAGCACCCCUGCCCUGCAGAUUUUCUAUGUCUCCCUCAUCUAACACACCUGAUUCAGCUCAUCAGCUUGUUAGUAGAGGCUGCACAACAUGAAUUGAGUGUGUCUCAUAAGGGAGACAUACAAAAUGUGCAGGGCAGGGGUGCUUUUGAAAACCACUGCUCUAGAGAGUGAAUAUCAAUAAAGUGCCACAAGUGUCUACAAGGACAUUUGUGUAUCUCAAAAAAAAAAA